rnacentral:lncRNA from 1 species
UGAUGAUGAAAAGGGAUUUUGCAUCUUUAGCAGCGUUAUAUAAUGAACCAAGCUUCUUAAACUCCUAGUAUUAUGACAUGUUGAGCUAUUCUUCACCGAGGAGGAACUCGGUAUCUCAAGAAAUUCUUCACUUUCUUCUUCGAUUAUUGUUUCGAGGGUUUUUGGAGUUUGAAUCCUCGAAACGAGAAGAUGGUGGCAAGCCGGUGAAACGGCUGACAACGGAGUCCGAGGCGAGGCCCGGGGGAUUUCAAUCUUUGGACGUCGGAGGACUUGUGUUGAUGAGAAUAUAAUAUUCGACAUUUUUUCUUGAUUUAAGUUGAGCAAAUUCUAUAUAUGUAGGUUUGGUUAUGGCCUAUGGGAGGGAGAGGAGAG